AAGGAUUUAAGUUAAUUAAACUCUUAGCCUUCAAAGCUAAAAAUAGGCGUAAACCUAAGCCUUA
rnacentral:tRNA from 1 species